GAUGGAGAGCGUAUGCUCGCUCCCUGAUGUAACCGCCGGAGGGGUGAGUAACACCGUGGGUAACCUGCCUGUAAGACUGGGAUAACUCCGGGAAACCCGGGGCUAAUACCGGAUGGUUGUCUUGAACCGCAUGGUUCAGACAUAAAAGGUGGCUUCGGCUACCACUUACAGAUGGACCCGCGGCGCAUUAGCUAGUUGGUGAGGUAACGGCUCACCAAGGCGACGAUGCGUAGCCGACCUGAGAGGGUGAUCGGCCACACUGGGACUGAGACACGGCCCAGACUCCUACGGGAGGCAGCAGUAGGGAAUCUUCCGCAAUGGACGAAAGUCUGACGGAGCAACGCCGCGUGAGUGAUGAAGGUUUUCGGAUCGUAAAGCUCUGUUGUUAGGGAAGAACAAGUGCCGUUCAAAUAGGGCGGCACCUUGACGGUACCUAACCAGAAAGCCACGGCUAACUACGUGCCAGCAGCCGCGGUAAUACGUAGGUGGCAAGCGUUGUCCGGAAUUAUUGGGCGUAAAGGGCUCGCAGGCGGUUUCUUAAGUCUGAUGUGAAAGCCCCCCGGCUCAACCGGGGAGGGUCAUUGGAAACUGGGGAACUUGAGUGCAGAAGAGGAGAGUGGAAUUCCACGUGUAGCGGUGAAAUGCGUAGAGAUGUGGAGGAACACCAGUGGCGAAGGCGACUCUCUGGUCUGUAACUGACGCUUAGGAGCGAAAGCGUGGGGAGCAAACAGGAUUAGUUCCUUA
rnacentral:rRNA from 2 species